CGAGCCGGCGCGGAUUCAUCGAGAGAUCGAUACAUCCGACCUCAAUGGCGGCUGAGAAGAGUGGCCGCAUUAGAUCACGAGCGAGCGGAUAUUGCUCAACGAUUUGAGAAACGCAAAUAGAAGUAACAGAGGGAUUAAAACAGUUUGUGGUCAAACACAGAGGCUUGUCUGUGAAUAGUGGAAACGAUGGAUCGUUGGUUGCUGUCUAGAGGAUCCACGGGAGCCGGCACUCGUCUUUCUAUGGGAUCGACCAGGCGUCAUAAUAGUCCCCAUAAUAGUGUGUGUGUAUUCAAAGAACGAUCUCGCCACCUUGUAUUACGCGGCACUAGACCGUGAUCCAGUGACGAUUCGCCAAUUGAGAAUUCGUUUUCAACGUUUUUCUCAUUCUCACCAGUCGGUGGAUCGACUUUUUUUUCAUAAUCGAUCAUAUCAUUGGAAUUUAGCAGGGUUAAAAGAUUGAGAUGAAUCUCGCAAUCCAACGCCACCAAUGUUAUCAACCACAAAAGAAGAAAAGUAACAAGAAAGGAAGAUAUUCUCUUUGCCAGAUGAAUCAGAUGCACGCUAUUUGAUGAAUUUUCGUCGCGCUAUUCGGCUAAGAAUUUCGGCGUUACCUUUACGAUUACUCUAGUCUCCCCAUGAAUAAGGCAGAGAGAGAGAGAGAGAGAGAGAGAAAAGCGUCGGUGGUCUCAAUCUGCUCAGAAAUUUCGCCCGGGCCCGAUGUCUAUCAAGACAAGAUCUAGCAUCGAGUCUGCACUUUCAUCGUCAUCUGUGAAUAAGAGACGACGCGAUUUGCCUAGUUUCUACGACAGUCAAUUGAAGAAAAAGAAAAAAGAAAGAAGAAAAUUCAAAACUCGCACGAGGGGAUGAAACUGUUUCCAACCAAUCGGUUUACUACGGACGACAGGCUUAAUUGAAUGAAACGCACGUUUCUACUUGUAGGAAACCGUAGCGUUUAAGCGUGCACGCGGCCGAGGAGGAGUCUCCUAUUCGACCAUCGUGCCCCCGACGUAGCUACCAGCAAAACCACCCUUCUGGCCGAAGGUGUAGGUCGCGCGAGCCGCAGUCACGUGUGCGUCACGUGCCAGGGAUUACUAAUUAUGCGCCGAGAACGGUCAUAAUAUCCUGAGCCCGGUUCUUAUUAUUGGACCGAUGUAACUUGAAGCUAAAAAUGGUAUUACAUGUCGUGGUGAUUUAUUUGGAAGAUACAGGUUCCGUUCAAAUUGAAGAUUUUAGAUCGUCUCGUCGACUUUAUUAUAUCCAAGUAUGUAUAAUUGAUCAUUUAAUCCAUAACAAUCAUCAAAAUUGCUCAACAAAUUUAUAUUUAUUUAUUAAUUACUGAAAUUGUCGUAAGAUUCCACAUCGAAUGAAUUCAAUAAUUCCAAUUACAAUUUAAAUCAAUUUUGAUUUUAACUUUUAUUAAUUCAUUCCAAGUAUGUGCGUAAUGUUCGCCGAUGAAACGAGGUGUCGAUACCGACGAAUAACGAUCGUAAACUGACAAUGAGUCGCGGGACAGAGGAAACUCCGAACGAUCGGCAUUUUCAAAGGCUCGAAAACGAUCAAACACGGAAGGGGGAGGGGCCCCAACGGCGAAUAAAUAUUGUUCUUUGCCAAAAUCACAUGAGCACACGGCCGAUUCAUAUCCGGGUGACAACGGCCAGGAUGCAAACAGACCAGAAGCUAUCCGCUCAUAACGUGCGCUGUUAUUCCAAUUGUUUUUCGUGUUCCGUGGACAAUGGUACGUUUUCUUCUUGGUCGUUGCCGACGAUCCGCCGGAAAGCGAAAACGUUUCGAUGGAAAAUUGAUUUCCGGUGGCCGGUGGUUCGCACGUGUCGCCCCCUCCGCGUCUGGCCACGAUGAUUUUACAAUUUUUACAAUGUCAAUACGACAGGAACUGUGUGCUUACCUUUGCACGGCGAUUUAAUCGUUUUUUUUUUCUUUUUCGACGAAAGGAGUAGAGGAUUUUUGUUAUUUCUGCGGUUCGCGCGGCAGAUUGCGCACAAUACACAUCGGGCGAAGUAAUUUUGAAAGUAAUUUUUUUGAAUUAUCGUUUUUUAUAAUGAUACAAUGCAAGAUAAAUUUAGAGAAAUCGAAUUAUCAAUUUAUACAGGAUGUUCCUGGUUUAAAUCGUCAAACUUUGGAUAUGAAUUAGGACUCUAAAACGAACAAAUUUCUCCUGUGAAAGUAUGCUCGUAAAUGCUUUCUUCAACAGAUAUUUAGGAAUAGAUAUUGGAUAGAACAUUGAAAUGUCUGUGUUCCCAAGAUUAAUGCUUGUCUCCAAACUGAAGUAAAUUUCUGAAAUUGUCAAGAGACUUUACGGACACCCCGUACAGUGAGAUAUUUAUCAUUCCGACAACAAGUGCAAGUUUCAAGUGGGCGAAAUUAGAUUGAUUUAUAUACAAUGUUCAAUAAUAUCCAAACAAUCAGGUAUAUCACUUGGAUCAAGUAUAACACUCGAUCAAAAAUCACAUAUCUCUACAGAUAUUCAUCUACAAGAACAAGUCGUUACGAUUAUCAAAGAAACAUCAGAGCACGCUCAAACGUAAAUGAUCUUCCAGACACUUUCACUGACUACCUGAUCGAGAUCUUCUCUAAAAAUGAAAACAGGAAGAAUGCACGAUGCACAUUGAAAAUUCUCCACGAGAGCAAGUUCGUGUGUGUUUGAGCGUGGCAGUUUGUCAGUGUAAGGUCGCACGAGGGCCACGCGGCGGCACGUGUCGUCUCUGGUCAAGCGAGCGGAAAAUCGUCCUUUGAUGCUGCACGCUCGUUGUUAAUCGCCAUUUGACGCUCACCUUCCUUUCUCCCUUAUCUCUCUCGCCCCGGAAGUCGCCUCCGUGCUGAGUAUCUCGCGCGCGAAAUCGAAAAUCUCCUCGCGGGCGGGGAGGAUGGGUGUGCAAGGACGGGGGAGAGAUUCGAGGAGAGGGUUGAAGAGGACGACAGAGGGUGGUUAGGUUUGUUGAGCGGCCAUAUCGAGACGAAGGUCGAAACAUCGACUCGACGACGGUGUCCCUCGACGAUUUUCUGUUUACUUUUUUACGCUGGUCGUUGUGGCGCGGAUGGCUGGACAGAGGGGAGAUGAUGACGGGCGAAUUAGCUGUUUGAGGAUCCUUGUAGGCGUGAAGCAUUUAGCGGACGUCAUUUUGAAAACGAUAGGCGAACGUGUCCCCCGAGGGGGCUGAAUUGAAAAAGACGUUCCAGUCGUUUUUAUUUGUCUUAAUUGUUGUGUUUUUAACUCUUAACUUUGAUGUUCCGGGGCAGAUUGUGAAUUUUAAGUUGCGCACUUUUUUUUUAACACUGGAACUACCGACGAUUGAAACAUAAAAUUUCCACCAGAGACAUAGAAAUAAAGGAACUUUGUAAUAAUACAAUGUGUAUAAG